rnacentral:rRNA from 1 species
GACAGAGGUGCCGAGCGUUAGGCGGAAUUACUGGGCGUAAAGGGCUCGUAGGCGGCCAACUAAGUCAGACGUGAAAUCCCCAGGCUCAACCUGGGAACUGCGUCUGAUACUGGAUGGCUUGAAUUCGGGAGAGGGAUGCAGAAUUCCAGGUGUAGCGGUGAAAUGCGUAGAUAUCUGGAGGAACACCGGUGGCGAAGGCGGGUCUCUGGGCCGAUACUGACGCUGAGGAGCGAAAGCGUGGGGAGCGAACA